GAUGAAGAACGUAGCGAAAUGCGAUAAGUAGUGUGAAUUGCAGAAUUCAGUGAAUCAUCGAAUCUUUGAACGCACAUUGCGCCUUCUAGUAUUCUGGGAGGCAUGCCUGUUUGAGCGUCAUUAAACCUCUCUCAAGUAUGAUUACUUGGAUGUGAAGGAAGAGUACCUUAAACUUAAGGAGUGUUCUCCUUUGAAAUUGAUUAGCAGAUGGUAAUGUUAUUAAAUCCCUGAUGUUGUAAGAAAUAACAGUGGUUUUGUAGACUAUUAUCUAGCUUUAAAUUAUAAUUUUUAUUAUGGUUGACCUCAAAUCAGGUAAGAAUACCCGCUGAACUUAAGCAUAUCAAUAAGCGGAGGA
rnacentral:misc_RNA from 1 species